rnacentral:rRNA from 1 species
AGAUUGAACGCUGGCGGCAUGCCUUACACAUGCAAGUCGAACGGUAGAGUAGCAAUACUCGAGAGUGGCGAACGGGUGAGUAAUAUAUCGGAACGUGCCCAAUCGUGGGGGAUAACGUAGAGAAAUUUACGCUAAUACCGCAUACGAUCUACGGAUGAAAGCGGGGGAUUCGCAAGAACCUCGCGCGAUUGGAGCGGCUGAUAUCAGAUUAGGUUGUUGGUGAGGUAAAAGCUCACCAAGCCGACGAUCUGUAGCUGGUUUGAGAGAACGACCAGCCACACUGGGACUGAGACACGGCCCAGACUCCUACGGGAGGCAGCAGUGGGGAAUUUUGGACAAUGGGCGAAAGCCUGAUCCAGCAAUGCCGCGUGCAGGAAGAAGGCCUUCGGGUUGUAAACUGCUUUUCUCGGGUAAGAGAACGGACGGUACCCGAGGAUCAGCCCGGCUAACUACGUGCCAGCAGCCGC